UGCAUGGAGCCACAAUAUAAUAAACAUAAAGGUCUCAUAUAUUAAAUUGACUUUGCUGCAUUACAAAUAACAUGAUCCCAAGGUUACAAUAAGUGAUACUACAUAGUAGCCUAAGUCUGGACGUUUCAAUCAACGCCACAACCACUCUAAAACAUAAGGUUUGAAACAUUGACACUAGAAAUGACAUCCUAAAACACUACACAAGACUAACAAAUAGCAGCCCCAUUGUCCACCUUGCAGUCAACAUCUGGGCCAUACAUCAUCAAUUUAUCUUAGCGAUCUACAAAAAUAAAGGAAUAAGAUCAGUAACCAUAUUGUAGAGAAAAUAUGGUUAAGAGCAGCAAAAUUAAAGGAGGAGAAACAUACAAAGGUUGAAGGCCAUGCGAUAAUUAAUCCUGCUGCAUGACCAAUAAUGUUGACCUUUUUUAGUGGUCGUAUCAACUGAUCAGAUUUUGCUAAUGUAGCAUCCACUCGCACUGCCCAGAAUUGGUUAC
rnacentral:lncRNA from 1 species